UUUUUGUUUUUUUUUUUUAGUUUAAACUUGAUUUUGUGAGGGGACGAACAGCGUGACAAUUAAAAGAAGAUCUGGGAAUCAAAAGCUUCCUGAGGCCUUCACCAGAAGCAGAUGCUGGUGCCGUGCUUCUACAGCCUGCAGAACUGAAGGACUUUACAGCUUCUCUUUCGCAUAUCCAAAUUGCCAGCAUCACCGCUCUUGCACUCCAAGCCAUUAUUAAGUAAAGUAAAGAACACAAACACUGUGAUACUGCUACACUUGAUCUGAUAACCAAGAAGUCUACUAAGUGACUAACAGCAGAGCAACUGGGAACCUAAUUCUGACCAAAAAGGAGGAAUUGUUUGGCUAAUUGGAAGUGACAGAAACCUUGGGAGAAAGCAACCGCAUACCAAGGAUAAUUAUAAGAAGAAGAGAAGACAUGGAGAAGAGGAGGGAGUAGUUGUGACCGUGGAGGCAGAGAAUGGAGUAAUGUGAUCAUAAAUCAAGGAAUGCUGACAGCCACUAAAGCUGGAGAAGGCCAAGGACAGAUAUUCAAUCCUCCCGUAGAAGUACAGCCCUGCUAAUGCAUUGAUUUUGGACUUCUGGCCUCAGAACUGUAAGAGAAUAAAUUUCUAUUGUUUUAAGCCUUCA
rnacentral:lncRNA from 1 species